CCCCAUACCGUCCGGAAUUCUACUUCUUUCCCUCUUUCGGUGACCGCCACUCCCCCUCUUACGCUUGUACUUCCGUACGUCCCUCUCCAUCGACUCUAAACCAGCGUUUCCUUCGCCUUUCCCCAUGGCCUCCUCCUUGGUCCUCUGUCCCUUCCUCUUCCUCCUCUGUUCCGUUUCUUCAAUUGCUUCUCCCUCUCCACUCCAAUCCUCCCGUCUUUCUCGCAUUCUCGAGUUCCAUGAGCCAGAGCGGGUGUCUCCAUAGGUUCAAGAAGCAAUGGCCCGUGGCCUUCGUGGGGACUCCUUCCGGCCUAUCAAGCCAGCUUCGAGUUUGAGAUCAUUCCCGAGGUAACUGUCCGUCCGAUGGACGUUUCCUUCGAUGUUUGAAACAAUCCAAGAAAGUUGUUGCUCGGAUCGCACCCUGCAACCUGGCAAAAGUUUUGCAACAAAAAAAGCUACUGUGUUUCUGCUAUCAAUUUUGUUCCCGACUCAAUGAUGGCGGCCUGAUGCUGUGAAUUACAUCUCUAACUAUUUGGGUCUUCUUCUCAAUGAUCAUGCUAGGCGUUGUGUGGUAACUUGUUUAUGUGAUUCUUUUUGCAUAUAUGACUAUUUGGGUCUUCAUAGUUAAUUUUUGACUGGGUUUUCUCGUCCUUGAAAAAUAGUUUCGGAGGGAACCAUUAUUUUGUUGUAGAUGUUACUAGAUUUAAACUUAUUGUGCAGGUUCAAUUGUUUCCCUUGUAUUAUGUGGGUAAUCCUGAACACAAAGUUACCAAGAACAACAAGAACCUAUCAAAAUUUUCUGGCAUGCAGUGUUCUUGGUAGGGUUAUGUGCAAUCUUGUUUCUAUCCUUUCUUUAGAUUAAAAGAAUGAAUUUUUUAUGUGCA